ensembl:snRNA U6 U6 spliceosomal RNA
GCGGUCACUUUGGCAGCACAUAUACUAAAAUUGGAAAGAUACAGAGAUUAGCAUGUCCAUUGUGCAAGGAUGACAUGCAAAUUUGUGAAGCAUUCCAUAUUUUC